rnacentral:rRNA from 1 species
UACGGGGAGGCAGCAGUGGGGAAUAUUGCACAAUGGGCGCAAGCCUGAUGCAGCCAUGCCGCGUGUAUGAAGAAGGCCUUCCGGGUUGUAAAGUACUUUUCAGUCGGGAGGAAGGUGUCAAGGUUAAUAACCUUGGCAAUUGACGUUACCGACAGAAGAAGCACCGGCUAACUCCGUGCCAGCAGCCCGCAGUAAUAACGA